UUGGAGGUGUUAGGUGGGUGGGUGGGGAUACAAUAAACGUAGAAUGUCACUUAUGAAACUUAUUUUUUCUAUUUUUAUUACGGAAGUCAUUUUUCAUAUUUCCAAGGAACUUGUUUUCCCGAAAAAAAUAUUUUUUAAUUUUUUCAAACAAAAAUUGGCUUUGAGCCCUUUUAUUAUGACAAACACAUAUUUACAAGGCACAAAAAGCCGAACAACCAAGCUCCAUAGUCCAAAGCAAAAAAGGAAUAAAAAGCAAAAUCCGAAUAAUCCAACAAAACAAAUCAAAAAAGGAAAAUGAUGAGACCAAAGAACGAUUACGCUAUUUCACUUGAGCCAUUGCAGGUGAGAUGGAGAUUGAACUGAGGCAUCAGUAGUAGAAAUCGAGUUCUUUAAGCUAAAUGACCCAUCUUCUUCAUUCACUAGUUUGAUUCCCUAUUUUAGCUACUUUUAUUACCUCUUAAUUUCAUCGAUGUUUUGGUAGAAAUCACUCAGGAAACCUCUCAAUCUCUCACAGAUGUAGUGUUUCUGUCCCAAAAAGGAAGUCUUCUUCAAGCUUGAUAAUCAUCAAAGGCUAUAUCUAAUGCCUCAAUAGAGAUAAGGUGAGCUCUUGGAGUCAAGUUGCACAUUUCCUUCUAUCUUAUUCAUGUCUUGUCUUUCGAUUUGAGACAAAUUGUAUUGAUUAUUUUAUAACUUGAGUUGUCUUUAUAGUUGCUCUUGUACUGACUCUACUAGGUCGUGGGAUGGUUAUCUAUAUUGUUGGCAAUCUCUUGACCAUUUCUAUAGUUUUGCUUAUUUAUAAGUUGCAGUUAUUUAUCAUC